CGAACUUUACUUGUUGAUGACUUAUCUGAGGAAGUUGACCAAUCUUUCAUGGAUAUGUAUUCUAACAAUCCUUUAGAAAAAACUCUCGCAGCUCCUAAAAGCGACAUUUUUGGUAUAAACUGCAGAGUAUGCCAAAUUAAUGGAUGCUACUGAAGAGAUCAUGAGAGUCGACGUAAACGAAAAAAUCAAAAUUCCAUCCAAUGUCGACAGAUGUUUCAGACACAGCGCCACCAUUCUCAUGCAUCGGACAUAUGGGGUUCGAAAAAAGUACCAAACGUUGAAUUAAAACAACUUCCAGCUGGAC
rnacentral:lncRNA from 1 species